rnacentral:tRNA from 1 species
GGAGGGUAUAGCUCAGUGGCAGAGCACGUGCUUAGCAUGCACGAGGUCCUGGGUUCAAUCCCCAGUACCUCCA